GUCUACGGCCAUGCCACUCUGAACGUGCCCAAUCUCAUCUGAUCUCAGAAGCUAAGUAGGGUCUGGCCUGGUUAGUACUUGGAUGGGAAACCACCUAGGAAUAGCAGGUGCUGUAGGCA
rnacentral:rRNA from 1 species